CAGAGCUCUGGGUGAUUCAGGUGCUGCAGCCUGCUCUGUGCCCAGCACUGUUCUCAGUGCCCGGCAGCUCUGAGAGCCUCACCCCUGCAGCGCUGGGCACUCAGGACAGCCCCACCUCACACCUCUCAAAGGCUUUUCCAAAUCUCAGCUAACCUCCAGUGAGGUCAAACACUCCCUAAAACAAGCAGCAAAAAGGAAGGAAACAGUUGAGCCUUAGAUAUGCUUCCCAUCUUCUCCCACACACCACCUCAGAUGGGAACUUGCCAGACCCUCAGGAUUAAUACCGAGACUCUCCUGUGGAAAAGCCUAACAUGUUCCAUUGCCAAAGCCCAUCUCAGUGCUUCAAAAACUGUGCAAGGAUCUGCAGGGGAAGCUGAGAGGAAAGGAAUAACGAGACUGAAGAUGGCCCCGAUGUCUGAGGUCCAGACAGCUCAGCAAGGGAGCUCGGAGCUGCCAGGAAGGCAGUGAAGGGACACAGCAGGACCCAGCAGAGCCACAGAGCCAGCAGCCUGAGUGCUCAACAGCUCGCUGCAGAGAGCCUGCCUCUGAGCCAGGGCUCGGUGGAAAAUAACAGCAAGAAGGAGCUCAGAGCAAAAAGAGCACUUGGCCUGAGACCAUGCUGCAGGCAGGGACUGUGCUUCUCCAGGAGCAGCUCGCUGCAGCCCCUCAGUGCUGGGAGCAGCUGGCCCCAGCCAGUUCCUGCCCCCACCAGCCCCUGGCACUGCCCAGAGCCCUCAGUGCCUCCAGCCAUGCUCUGGUGCCCUGCCACAGCUGUCCCACAUCCCUGCAGUAGGCCAAGCUGAAAGCAGCUUGCAGAGCAGAAACCUUUUUCUGCACCUCAUUUUUUCCAAGCACUGGCAUAUUCCUGUACUGACUACCUAACUGUGAACUCCCCUACCAUUUAUUUCCAACUUCCACCACUUUAACUUGACUCAAACGUUUGGGUGUGUGCCCCAAAACAACCACAAAAAUUGUAGUAAUUCCAUUCAAUAAAACUAAAGAACAAAUGCUAAAAACUUUAGUG
rnacentral:lncRNA from 1 species